UCACCAACUUCAAACACAACAAGAUUUUCAAAAAACUUCCACACUGAGAAAGAGGGAUUAAACACCGGAAAACAUCCAUCCCAAAAGCCAAAUUAUCUAUCACCAACUCCCCCACACAGGUCUUGCGUGCUGGCGACAACGACCUCCGAACCCUAAGCCACCUCACCGCGGUUCUAAGCCGGCUGCGCCAGCUUCAGGAGGCUCACUUCAUCGGGAAUCCAGUCACAGCGCACCGUCGGUACCGGCCGGCGCUCAUCCUGGCAAGCCAAUCUAAACUCGAAAACCUGGAUGGGCGAGCUGUGACGUCAUACUCCAGGGAUUUCCUAAUUCAAGCGAACCGACAUCGCCAGACGUUAAGGCAGCAGAGGGAAGCCCGGCCCGCGAGCCCGCCCGAGGCCAGCCCGGAGGCGGCCAGGCCUGACGCUCACCUGCUCUUCACGUCCGCUUCUCACUCGGCCAACGCCUCCGAGUGCGCGACGGGUCCCAUGUUCGUCCUCGGUGCCCUGCGACGCCCGGAGUUCGACCUCAUCCUCAGCCGCGCCGGAGGAGAGCCAAGACGUGCGAGAGGGAGGGAGGCCGUCCCCGGC